rnacentral:rRNA from 1 species
UACGUAGGGGGCAAGCGUUUGUCCGGAUUUAUUGGGCGUAAAGGGCGCGUAGGCGGUGUGUCAAGUCAGGCGUGAAAGCCCCGGGCUCAACCUGGGAACCGCGCUUGAGACUGGCACGCUCGAGUUCGGGAGAGGAUGGUGGAAUUCCCAGUGUAGAGGUGAAAUUCGUAGAUAUUGGGAAGAACACCGAUGGCGAAGGCAGCCAUCUGGACCGACACUGACGCUGAGGCGGCGAAAAGCGUGGGGAGCAAACAGG